AUCUCUUUAGAUUUCUCCGACAUAUCAUCCCUCUCUCUGCAAAGACGACGACCACUGCCUCAUCCUUCGCCGGCGAUAAUCUCGAUCUCCGACGGCCUCUACCUUUCCGCCGAUAGUUUUAAGCUUCGCAGCUGAAUUUUUAUCUAUGUCGUUCAAAUUAGGGUUCAAUCUUCAGCUUAAGGUGUUUGACGAAUUGCCUCAUUAUUGGUUUGCUUGUUUCUUGACAUUGUUUGGCGUUAUGUACAGCUUAUUACAUUUAGUUCAUUAUUGAACUUAGUUAUGGAUCAUUAUUGAAUCUGGUGUGACUAAUUUGAUUGUUGUUUUCUUUCGUGUGUUUUAUAUUGUGAAGUUACGAAUGUAAAAUCUGUCUAAAGGUGCAUAACAACGAAAGAGACUACUUGUCGCAUCUUCACGCUCAUUUUCAAGAGAAAAAGUUCAGAGAUGAAAUGAAAACAGAGGUAAGCAAAUGUUUUAUUACUUGGUGUCCUUAUGUAGCUUUUAAAUUUGGGUACUUUUGUGCAGAACACUUCAGAUAAUGAUCUUUAUGAUUCAGAAUUUUCUGGUAAGUACUCUUUUCUCUUAUGCUCUUGCUAAAUCUGUACAUGUUAAUCAUUUGUAUCAAACCUAAUAUGUUUUGUUUCAAUUGAUUAUCAGAACCUCCUCAUUUAAGUAAAUGGUUUCCGGAC